CUCUGGAUCCAGACUGGUGACAUUGCUGCAAACUCAGAAAUGUCAGGUUCAGAAACAGACCUGGCUUCAUGAUGGACACUGAUAGAAAAUCUACUUUUGAACAGAUCUUCUUGAGAAGAAAACUUGGCUUGUGGCUUAGUCUCCUGCAGAGAGAUGCACUAGUUCGCCCUUGCUGCUGUGGUCCAGGGCUGAUGAGGAGGCCUGGCAGAGUUUUCCGUGUUUGUGAAAGAUUAACAGCCAGCUACAAUGUUUCUCCUUGGAAAAGUUUCUCGUGUUCAAGAAUGGUUUUAUUAUUGCCUUUUGAAACAAGUGGAAUAUUUGGAUGA
rnacentral:lncRNA from 1 species